GUGCCAGCCGCCGCGGUAAUACGUAGGGGGCGAGCGUUGUCCGGAUUCAUUGGGCGUAAAGCGCGCGCAGGCGGCUUCGUAAGUCGGCCGUGAAAUCUCCGGGCUUAACUCGGAGGGGUCGGGCGAGACUGCGAGGCUCGAGGCGAGCAGAGGGCUGUGGAAUUCCGGGUGUAGUGGUGACAUGCGUAGAGAUCCGGAGGAACACCAGUGGCGAAGGCGACAGCCUGGGCUUGGCCUGACGCUGAGGCGCGAAAGCGUGGGGAGCGAUCCGGAUUAGAAACCCGUGUAGUCC
rnacentral:rRNA from 1 species